AACGAACGCUGGCGGCAUGCCUAACACAUGCAAGUCGAACGAGACCUUCGGGACUAGUGGCGCACGGGUGCGUAACGCGUGGGAAUCUACCCUUGGGUUCGGAAUAACAGUUAGAAAUGACUGCUAAUACCGGAUGAUGACGUAAGUCCAAAGAUUUAUCGCGCAAGGAUGAGCCCGCGUAAGAUUAGGUUGUUGGUGGGGUAAUGGCCUACCAAGGCGACGAUCUUUAGCUGGUCUGAGAGGAUGAUCAGCCACACUGGGACUGAGACACGGCCCAGACUCCUACGGGAGGCAGCAGUGGGGAAUAUUGGACAAUGGGCGAAAGCCUGGUCCAGCAAUGCCGCGUGAGUGAUGAAGGCCUUAGGGUUGUAAAGCUCUUUUACCAGGGAUGAGAAUGACGGUACCUGGAGAAUAAGCUCCGGCUAACUCCGUGCCAGCAGCCGCCGUAA
rnacentral:rRNA from 1 species